rnacentral:rRNA from 2 species
AAAGUUCUAGAUAGAUUACUGAUAAUGACAAUUAUCUAUCUAUAUGUCUUGACCAAAUCUCGUGCCAGCAGUCGCGGCAAUACGAGGAAGACUAGUGUUAUUCAUCUUUAUUAGGUUUAAAGGGUACCUAGACGGUAUAUCAAGCCCCCUAAAGGGAACAGAUAUACUAGAGUUUUAUGUGAGAGGUAUAUAUUAGUACUAUUGGUGUAGAGAUGAAAUUCUUUGAUACUAAUCGGACGGAUAACAGCAAAAGCAAACCUUUAUGUAUAAACUGACGUUGAGGGACGAAGGCUUGGGUAGCGAAUAGGAUUAGAUACCCUAGUAGUCCAGGCAGAGAAUUAUGAAUGUUAUAGACUGGCCCCCCCUUAGCUUGUGUAUAAAUGAAAGUGUAAGCAUUCCACCUCAAGAGUAAUGCGGCAACGCAGGAACUGAAAUCAUUAGACCGUUUCUGAAACCAGUAGUGAAGUAUGUUAUUUAAUUCGAUAGCCCUCGAAAAACCUUACCACAAUUUGAAUAUUAUUUUCUUAAAUAAUACAAGUGUUGCACGGCUGUCUUCAGUUAAUGUCGUGAGAUUCUGGUUAGAUCCAUUAAAUUAACGUAAACCCUUACUUUAUUUGUUUUUAUAAAGUAGUUCACCGCUAGAUUGGAUGUGAUAAUAGGGACUAAGACAAGUCAUCAUGACCUUAAUAUUGUGGGCUAUAGACGUGCCACA